rnacentral:rRNA from 1 species
UUAUACGGUGAAGCUGCGAAUGGCUCAUUAAAUCAGUCAUAGUUUAUUUGAUGGUACCCUACUACAUGGAUAACUGUGGUAAUUCUAGAGCUAAUACAUGCUGAAAAAUCCCGACUUCUGGAAGGGAUGUAUUUAUUAGAUCCAAAACCAAUGGCCUUCGGGUCUCCUUGGUGAAUCAUGAUAACUGCUCGAAUCGCAUGGCCUUGCGCCGGCGAUGCUUCAUUCAAAUAUCUGCCCUAUCAACUUUCGAUGGUAGGAUAGAGGCCUAC